ACAACGGCUCUUUUAAGAGCCAACAAAACAUCUGCAGAGUUCCUG
rfam:Oryzias latipes DNA, chromosome1, strain: Hd-rR.